GAUGAACGCUAGCGGCAGGCUUAAUACAUGCAAGUCGUGGGGCAGCAUGAGUAGCAAUACUUGAUGGCGACCGGCAAACGGGUGAGGAACACGUACACAACCUUCCUUCAAGCGGGGAAUAGCCCAGAGAAAUUGGAUUAAUACCCCAUAAUAUAUUUGAUAAGGCAUCUUAUUAAAUAUUAAAGCUUCGGCACUUGAUGAUGGGUGUGCGGCUGAUUAGAUAGUUGGCGGGGUAACGGCCCACCAAGUCUACGAUCAGUAGCUGAUGUGAGAGCAUGAUCAGCCACACGGGCACUGAGACACGGGCCCGACUCCUACGGGAGGCAGCAGUAAGGAAUAUGGACAAUGGCGAAAGUCUGAUCCAGCCAUGCGCGUGAGGAUAAGGUCUCUGAUGUAACUCUUUAUAUGGACG
rnacentral:rRNA from 1 species